rnacentral:lncRNA from 1 species
UGUCAGACCACUGAACAUUUUUUGUGUGUGUUUCUUUUCCCACCCCACCCCACUGUUCCCAGGAUGAUGAGGAUGAUAAUGCAGGCACGGAGAUGAAGAUACUGCGGGGCCACUGCUCUGCCGUGACCUCGCGCAUGCGAGCACCUUCCUGUCUCUCAUUUUCACCAUCUGACUGGGGCUAGGUUUGGUUAGAGUCUCAAACUCUUGGGCUCAAGCAAUCCUCCCACCUCAGUCUCCCAAAGUGCUAGGAUUAUAGGCAUGAGCCACCGCACCUAGCCUAAAAGAAAUUUGUAUAUAAAAAUGUGAGUUUCUA